CGCGGCGCCCCCGACUCGCCGCUCGGCUCCGUUCGGGCAUUUCCGCCUCUUUGUUUUAAACUCCGGACGGGUUUUUUUCUGCUGCUCUUGGGGGGACCCGGAGGGAGCGGCGCCCCCCCCCCCCGGCGCCGCCCCGCGUGCGCCCCGCUCGCCGCAGCCGAGCCGGCAGGCUUCAAAAUGUAGCAGAGGGCUCCCGGCUGCCAUGGACAGAAAAUGGACAGAGAGCGAGGGACAGAAGGGAGGCGCACAGGUGAAGACCCACGGGGCAGAGUGAGGCCGCCGGCAAGGACGCGCAGCAUCGGAGCAGCAGCCUGAGCGCCCAAUGCGAAGGCCGGAGGAGAGGGCCGCAGACAUCUAGAGAGAAGCCAAAGAUGUUGACGAGAAAGAUUAAGCUCUGGGACAUAAACGCCCACAUCACCUGCCGCCUGUGCAGCGGGUAUCUCAUCGACGCGACCACGGUGACCGAGUGUCUGCACACGUUCUGUCGGAGUUGCCUGGUCAAGUACCUGGAGGAGAACAACACCUGCCCCACGUGUAGGAUCGUGAUCCACCAGAGCCACCCGCUGCAGUACAUCGGUCAUGACAGGACCAUGCAGGACAUUGUUUACAAACUGGUUCCGGGCCUUCAGGAAGCGGAAAUGAGGAAGCAGAGGGACUUCUACCACAAGUUAGGCAUGGAGGUGCCCGGAGACGUCAAGGGGGAGACCUGUUCUGCAAAGCAGCACCUCGACCCCCAUCGGAACGGUGAAACCAAAGCAGAUGACAGUUCGAACAAAGAAGCAGCAGAGGAGAAGCAGGAGGAGGACAACGACUACCACCGAAGCGACGAGCAGUUGGCAGAGAAACAUGUGCUUGCUCUGAAACAUCCUGAACGUAAAAGAAUUGAAGCCCAGACCCUGCACACGACUCCCCAGGUGAGCAUCUGUCUGGAGUGCAACAGCAGCAAACUACGCGGCCUGAAACGGAAGUGGAUCCGCUGCUCGGCCCAGGCCACGGUCCUGCACCUGAAGAAGUUCAUCGCCAAAAAACUUAACCUUUCGUCUUUCAAUGAGGAGAAAGACCAUCUGAAGAGCCCAUUUCCUUUUUCACUGAGCUGGACAUUUUAUGCAAUGAGGAAAUCCUGGGCAAGGACCACACGCUCAAAUUUGUGGUUGUCACGAGAUGGAGAUUCAAGAAGGCGCCGCUCCUGCUGCACUACAGACCCAAGAUGGACCUGCUCUGAGCGCGGCCCCACGCCGGGCCCCGCUGCACGCGGGUGUCGCCUGCGGUGUCGCGGGACCAGAUUCCUGAAUAGAGUAUUUAUAACUUUUGUAUGAGAGAAUUCACACUCGACAAGACACUACCAGCACCACGGUUACAAGACGACGAAACACUUCACAGUCUCAGCGGCCGGAGAGGCGCCUCUCGCAGACUAGAUGAUGGAGUUCCUGUGAAGUGGUUUCCACGACGGUUUCCGCUGGUAAAACAAGUGCUGUCCGGUCACCUUCUUCCUGUCUCACCGUCACCACAGUGGGAUGCGCUGCCCAGCACACGGUCUCACUAAAUGCAGUUUUCAUGAAGAUAGAAAAUUCAGAUAGAAUAUAUAAUAUUGAAUUUAAGAUUUGGGGGGUUAAAAAAAAGAAAACUUAACUUUAUAAAAUUAUUUAUUCUAUUUUAAGCCUUCUAUCAUAUUUUCCCAUCCAAUUGUUUGGUUUCCGUGGUCCAGCUUUAUUUACAGGCAUAUAAAAUGAAAUUGUGACAUGUUUUGCAAGCUUCUUCUUUUUACUUUGAGUAGCUUUUAAUUUGUAUGUUUUUGUUCUGUAUAGAUGAAGAGCAUCGUUUAUGCUUUUGUGCAAUAGGUUCCAGAUGCAUUGAUUAGACAUCUACCUAAAUUGUAACGUCACAUCUCUUCUGCUAAAUCGAAAGGGAAUGUAGGUGGAAUUCCAGUGUAUGUACAUUCAGCUCUUUGGGUUUUCCUUUUCCGUUGCUGUUCUAAGAACAAGAAUGCUGUUUGGGGAUGGUUUGUGUGUGUGCCCCGUGCGGCGGGGCGGCCGGGCAGGCGGCCGUGGACACCGGCCCCGCGUGCUCACGGCCCUGGAGGCACCGCCGCGUGUCAGCCACGGACGGGACGGUGCUACUUUCCUCGGGGCUCCUGGGCCCUCUGAAGCCUCCUUGUGGCGAAGUCUUUACAAAUUCGUUUCAUUUUUUUCUCUCAAAGUGCACAGGAGGGCGUUUUGCAGCAAUUUAAAAUGUGUCAUUGGAUCGAUUGUUCUAGGAACGAGCCAGCUGAUUUCUACUUUACAUGUGAAUAUUAGGUGUGCUCUCAAGACGCUGGAAGUAAACGUAGCGCAGAUAGCUGACCCAGGAAAAAGGCGGUUUCUCGGUUUCCUCAGGAAAGCACUUAGCUCCGGCACGUCCCCGGGGGCCGUAGCCUGAAAGCCAGGGUGCUGCUCUGCCUUGUGUCUAAACAAACGACCUAAGUUGGGAUCCGUAGCUUAGGAAACCCGUUGCUCGGGCUAGCUGUAAUCUUUACGAAGAUCCCGUCCCUGCCAGGCAGAGACAGGUGUCCCACCGAGGAGGCUGCCUGCGCCACCGCCCGCCCGCCCGUCGCCUGCACCGCGUGUGGCUCCCGUGUCCACGAGCGCAUCUGAAGGAUGGACUGAAGGUUGAGUGUCCCCUAAAGUGUGUGUAGCGUUAGUGUAAAUGUCUGUUCCAACGGCUUAAUUGGGUAUAAGAAAACCAUACUCUCCCCGAGCGACGUAGGGUUCAGGGCUGUGAGCCGCCAGUAACCUGAUCGUCACAUGUGGCAACAUGGACGCUGUCGCGGUUUACUGAGAUGACAAUGCAGAUACAUAUUUUUGACUGUUUAAUUUGAAAGUUUACAUUUUUUAUGCUUUGUGUUGGUGUGUAAUUUUUGUACUAUUGGUGGCUAGUUUUUGUCUAAAAUCUUUUUUGGAAUAUUGCUUAAAUGUUUUGAUUUUAUGAUAGUGAAGCUUGUACUCAGUGUUUUGCCAAUUAAUAUUAUAUGCUUGUAAUAAAAGCAAAAGAAAACUUACCUAAAAA